AGGACGAACGCUGGCGGCGUGCUUAACACAUGCAAGUCGAGCGGUAAGGCCGUUCGGGGUACACGAGCGGCGAACGGGUGAGUAACCCGUGGGUGAUCUGCCCUGCACUUCGGGAUAAGCCUGGGAAACUGGGUCUAAUACCGGAUAUGACUUCAGGUUGCAUGACUUGGGGUGGAAAGAUUUAUCGGUGCAGGAUGGGCCCGCGGCCUAUCAGCUUGUUGGUGGGGCAAUGGCCUACCAAGGCGACGACGGGUAGCCGACCUGAGAGGGUGACCGGCCACACUGGGACUGAGACACGGCCCAGACUCCUACGGGAGGCAGCAGUGGGAAUAUUGCACAAUGGGCAAAGCCUGAUGCAGCGACGCCGCGUGAGGAUGACGGCCUUCGGGUUGUAAACCUCUUUCAGCAGGACGAAGCGCAAGUGACGGUACCUACAGAAGAAGCACCGCUAACACGUGCCAGCAGCCGC
rnacentral:rRNA from 1 species